rnacentral:rRNA from 1 species
AACGCGAAGAACCUUACCUGGGCUCGAAAUGUAGAGGACGAUAUCAGAGAUGAUAUUUCCCGAAAGGGUCUUUAUAUAGGUGCUGCAUGGCUGUCGUCAGCUCGUGCCGUGAGGUGUUUGGUUAAGUCCAGCAACGAGCGCAACCCUUAUCGUUAGUUGCCAACGCGUAAAGGCGGGAACUCUAACGAGACUGCCUAGGUUAACUAGGAGGAAGGCGAGGAUGACGUCAAGUCCGCAUGGCCUUUAUGUCCAGGGCUACACACGUGCUACAAUGGUCGGUACAGAAGGCUGCGAAACCGUAAGGCGAAGCAAAUCCUGAAAAACCGAUCUCAGUUCAGAUUGUAGUCUGCAACUCGGCUACAUGAAGUUGGAAUUGCUAGUAAUGGCGUGUCAGCAACAACGCCGUGAAUACGUUCCCGGGCCUUGUACACACCGGUACUA